UACGGGGGGGGCAAGCGUUGUUCGGAAUUACUGGGCGUAAAGGGCUCGUAGGCGGCCAACUAAGUCAGACGUGAAAUCCCUCGGCUUAACCGGGGAACUGCGUCUGAUACUGGAUGGCUUGAGUUUGGGAGAGGGAUGCGGAAUUCCAGGUGUAGCGGUGAAAUGCGUAGAUAUCAGGAAGAACACCCGUGGCGAAGGCGGUUCUCUGGAACGCAACUGACGCUGAGACGCGAAAGCGUGGGGAGCAAACAGG
rnacentral:rRNA from 1 species